AAAGCAAAGAGUAUAUUUUCAACAAAAUUAUAGAUGAAACAUUCCAUAGUCUAAAGACAGAGAUGUCUAUCAGGUAGGUACAAGAAGCAAAUAAAACAGCAAAUACACCCAGAAAAGAAACUCCCCACAAUGCAUAGUCACCAAAACCCACCAAACACACUGAACAAAGGAAGGAUAUUCAAAGCUGCAAGGGUGAAGGCCCAAGCCACACAGGUAAAGGCAGGGCUAUUAGAAUAACACCUGACAUUUCAAUGAAAGCUCCAAAAACAGAUGGGCCUAGAUGAAUGUUCUACAAGAUUUCAGAGACCACAGAUGCCAGCACAGACUACCAAACCAUCAAUCACACGACAGAGAAAGAAAAAGAUUGCACUUCAUAAACUAUAAACGAAUUUAAGCAGUUUAUGUUCACCAAUCCAGAAGGCCUAAGAGAAAAUUUUAACUCUGAAGAAAAAGAUCACUAUACUAAAGAGGAAACAAGGGGUAAAUUAAAAGCAGAGCAGUAAAUCAAAAGGGGGCACCCACACCACAAAAAACAAAAUAACGGGAAUCAGUAAACACUGCUCAUUAAUAACUCUCACUGUUAAUCAUCUCAGUAUCCCUAAUAAAACACACAGAAUAACACACUGAAUUGUAAAUUAGUACCCAGCUUUCUGCUACAUCCAAGAAACACACUUUGCCAUCAAGGAUAACACCUUAGGAAGAAGAUGAAAAAAGAUAUUCCAAGCAAAGCUACCCAUGGAUCAAGAAGGUAUUGUAAUGUGUGACAAAAUAAACUUUAAACACAAACUAAUCAAACGGAUAGGAAAUACAUUGCAUAUAUAUUAAAGAAAAAAGUAUACCAAGAAGACAUUAUAAUUUAAACAUUUAUGCAUAAAGUAUAGGGGCACCCAAAUUAUUAAAAGAAACACUAUUACAGCUAAAAUUACAUAAUCAUCCUAUCCUUUUCUUUCUCAUAAUAUCUCAUAUUCAACACAAAACUAAAUUGAGAAAUUCUGUAGUAACAUCAAAAUCAAAUGGACUUCACAGACAUGUACAGAGGAUUCCACUAAAACACAAAAGAAUAUACUUUUCUCAGAAGCCCAUGGAACUUCCUCUAAUAUUGGCCACAUAUUAGGAUACUAAACAAGUAUCAACAGAUAUUAAGAAAAGUUAAAUAACACCCUGCAUCUUAUUUAACCACCAUGGAAAGAUUAAAACUGGAUAUCACCAACAAUAAAAACAACAAAGUAUACAAACUCAUGGAACCUGAACAAUUCACUACUGAACAAAUAUUGGGUCAAGAAAACUAAAACUUUGAAUAAUUAAAUGAGACCCAAAACACAGCAUACCCAAUUUUAUGGAAAACAGUAUAGGCAGUUUUCACAGUCAAGUUCAUAAUACCAGUGUCUACAUUAACAAAAUGCAGAAAU
rnacentral:lncRNA from 1 species